rnacentral:rRNA from 1 species
AGAGUUUGAUCAUGGCUCAGGAUUAACGCUAGCGGCAGGCCUAAUACAUGCAAGUCGAACGGCAGCACGGGGGGCAACCCUGGUGGCGAGUGGCGGACGGGUGAGUAAAGCAUCGGAACGUAUCCUGGAGUGGGGGAUAACGUAGCGAAAGUUACGCUAAUACCGCAUAUUCUGUGAGCAGGAAAGAGGGGGAUCGCAAGACCUCUUGCUUUAGGAGCGGCCGAUGUCGGAUUAGCUAGUUGGUGAGGUAAAGGCUCACCAAGGCGACGAUCCGUAGCGGGUCUGAGAGGAUGAUCCGCCACACUGGGACUGAGACACGGCCCAGACUCCUACGGGAGGCAGCAGUGGGGAAUCUUGCGCAAUGGACGAAAGUCUGACGCAGCCACGCCGCGUGAGUGAAGAAGGCCUUCGGGUUGUAAAGCUCUUUCGGCCGGGAAGAAAUCGUAUGGGCUAAUACCCUGUGCGGAUGACGGUACCGGCAUAAGAAGCACCGGCUAACUACGUG